UACGGAGGGUGCAAGCGUUAUCCGGAUUUACUGGGUUUAAAGGGUGCGUAGGUGGGUAGGUAAGUCAGUGGUGAAAUCUUCGAGCUUAACUCGGGAACUGCCAUUGAUACUAUCAGUCUUGAAUACUGUGGAGGUUAGCGGAAUAUGUCAUGUAGCGGUGAAAUGCUUAGAUAUGACAUAGAACACCAAUUGCGAAGGCAGCUGGCUACACAAUUAUUGACACUGAGGCUCGAAAGCGUGGGGAUCAAACAGG
rnacentral:rRNA from 1 species